AGUGUUUAUAGGCGCUCACGGCCAGCAAUAACAGGUUCGAGUGGCCAGGGUGGCUCUGUGACUUUUUCAUCUUCCACGCUAACUUAAACACGAGAAGAAACGGCUUUCCAGGCCGGGCUGGCCGCGCGGCCGCGGAGAUGAAGUGCGUUCGUCAUAAUUCAUAGGCUUCUCCUCUCUUCCCGCUGCUCCGGAAUCACGCUCCGCCAUUAAAAUGCAUUGUGGCCGCCUGGCCGGUGGGGCCUCUACUCGUUCCCAGGGCCAGCAGGGAUGGGCGCACAGACACAGGGGCUCUGGGCCGCCACCCCCGCCCCGCCCCUGCUGGACACGCCGGGCACUGCAGGAGCCUGGCUCCUGACAAGGGGGCGGGGCUUGCCCUAGAGCCACCGUUCCCUCCUUCACGGCAGGCCUGCCACCAGCCCCUGGCGGUAGUCACACCAGGUCGUUCUGUGGGCCCUUCUGCUCUCGGGACGCUGCCUGGGGGUGUGCUGUCCCCAGCUCGAGAGAGCACAGGACCCAAAAUCAAGAUCAGGACUGGGGACACCUCGAGCAGAGUCCCAGGGUUUACCCAGGAGACAUGUGCUGCAUGAAGGAAUGAACGGAACUCACUGCUGAAGCAGAUAUCUCCUCCAAGUGGCACAAGAUGAACGAAGUGUCAACUCUGGGUCCCGGCGGCCUCUGCCCUGCCGCGGAGAUGGUCAAGAAUAGCUCCCACAUAACGGGCGUCUGGAAAGCUCCAGGAGCAGGUGCUCCUGGGUCCCCACCCAAGCUCCCACUGGGCACGCCCUCCCACCCAGGCACCCAUCGAUCUGCCAAACGACCACCCGCUCG
rnacentral:lncRNA from 1 species